UGCGUAGACGGUUAUGUAAGUCAGAUGUGAAAGCCCCGGGCUCAACCUGGGAAUUGCAUUUGAGACUGCAUAGCUAGGGUGCGGAAGAGGGAAGCGGAAUUUCCGGUGUAGCGGUGAAAUGCGUAGAUAUCGGAAGGAACACCAGUGGCGAAAGCGGCUUCCUGGUCCAGCACCGACGUUCAGGCACGAAAGCGUGGGGAGCAAACA
rnacentral:rRNA from 1 species